rnacentral:rRNA from 1 species
CGCUCGCAUCGAAACGACCUGCUCUUUGAAAACUUAGAGUGAUCGAAGGGGGCUUACGCCUGAUAUUUCAGCAUGGAAUAACACUAUAGGACUCCUGUCCUAUUUCGUUGGUCUCGGGACGGGAGUAAUGAUUAAGAGGAACAGUUGGGGGCAUUCGUAUUUCAUUGUCAGAGGUGAAAUCUUGAUUUAUGAAAGACGAACUUCUGCGAAAGCAUUUGCCAAGAUGUUUUCAUUAUCAAGACGAAAGUUGGGGGUCGAAAUGAUAAAUACAUCCUAGUCUCACCAUAAACGAUGCCGACUAGGAUGCAGAGGUAAUGAUGAUCCUGCGCACUUAUGAGAAACCAAGUUUUGGGUCCGGGGGAUAGGCGCAAGCUGAAACUUAAGGAUUG